UACGGAGGGUGCGAGCGUUAAUCGGAAUCACUGGGCGUAAAGCGCACGUAGGCUGUUUUGUAAGUCGCAUGUGAAAGCCCUCGGCUCAACCGGGGAACUGCGUGCGAUACUGCAUAACUCGAGUCCUGGAGAGGGUGGCGGAAUUCCCGGUGUAGGAGUGAAAUCCGUAGAUAUCGGGAGGAACACCAGUGGCGAAGGCGGCCACCUGGACAGGUACUGACGCUGAGGUGCGAAAGUGUGGGGAGCAAACAGG
rnacentral:rRNA from 1 species